AUGGCUAGCCACCUCAGUGUUUUGAAGUGGAAUGUUCGGGGAUUGAAUUGCCCAAAUAGAAGAGCUAGUGUCAAUGAAACCGUCGCUGCCUCGGCCUGCCACUUAGCGUGCUUCCAAGAAACAAAAAUGGAGCUUGUUGACCCUAUGAUCGCCUCCUUCUUGGGCGGCUACAGGCUCAAGGGUUUUGCGCAGCGUCCUGCUAUAGGCACUCGUGGGGGAAUCCUUCUGCUUUGGGAUGAAAACCACAUGAAACUUGAAAACGUGCACUUUGGAACCUACACCCUCUCGGCAAAGAUCACCAUCAUUAGCUCCGGUACCUGUUUCAACUUCACCACGGUCUAUGGACCGACCAGAAAUAACCUGAAGGACGAUUUCUUUAACGAGUUGAUGGCUGAGAAACCACCUCAAGGUGAUGGAUGGUUGGUCACGGGCGACUUCAACCAAAUCUACCGCGCUCGUGACAAGAAUCGUUCCAAUGCAAACCGUAGCCGCAUCGCUCGCUUCCGAGACGCCCUCAAUUUCUGUGAGCUCAAAGAAAUUCACCUCCAAAACAGGAAGUUCACCUGGAGCAAUGAACAAAGCAACCCAACCAUGUCCAAGCUUGAUGGCUUCUUCUGUAAUGAGGAUUGGGACAUUAUUUUUGACAAGCAUAUCCUCCAGGCUCUGUCAUCUUCCCUCUCGGAUCAUUGCCCACUUCUACUAGCUAACGACGAUGGCCCCCGACGACCGAAGACUUUCCGCUUUGAGAACUUCUGGACAAACAUGCAUGGAUUCCGCCAAACCGUCCAUGAUGCUUGGAAUGAGCCCUCCAUGCACUCUGAGGCGUACCAAAGGCUCUUCCACAAACUUAAGCUUACUAGUCAGAGGCUUAGGUCCUGGAGUAAGACCCUCUUCUCUCAAGCCAAAGUACAACUGCACAUGGCUCUGGAGAUCAUCUUGCGUCUUGAUGAGGCCCAAGACCAUAGAGAUCUUAGCGCGGAGGAGGUGGACCUUCAUAAAAGACUUAAGAAAAGAGUGAUCGGGCUGGCUGUAAUGGAAAGGGCUAGGAAAAAGCAAAACUCACGGAUAACAAAUAUCAAAGAGGGGGAUGCA
rnacentral:rRNA from 1 species